GCCGCGGCCCGGGUUCGAUUCCCGGUCAGGGAACGCAGGAAUGGCAUGAGGUGAGUCGGCUGCGACAAUAGCGAUGCCAGUCGUUUAGUUUGUUAGCGGUGAUCAGUGUAUGGCUCCCUGAAGGUCCAGUGGCGAGUACUGGGCACUCUCACCGCCGCGGCCCGGGCUCGAUUCCCAGUCAGGAAAGCUGGUCUUACCACUAUCAGGCACUUGUGUGUGACCUCCCAAGGCACCAUCCAAUCCCCAUCUGAUGAGGAAUAACUGUACGUACACAGAAGAUGGAUAGAGGUUUCCCCCGAAAAGUGAAAGGCGUGCAAUCAGCGACCUAGGAGGAGCCCGAGUCCCUGUGGAUCGGACAGGACUUUGAACCCCAUCAGCUUGGCGGGAAGCAGCCACCAUCACAACCGUGGCAAGUACUUACCGAAACACAACAUGUCCGUUUUCAUACAAGCCUCGCGUCGUUUUCCACGCUUUUGAAAGACCGCACUGCGAGUGAUUUAACACAGCUUCACAUUGCUCCUGAAGACAAGCUGACUGUUCUGCAGACUUUUCAGAUCAUGCAUUGGCCGGGAAUCGAACCCGGGUCAACUGCUUGGGAAGCAGCUAUGCUCGCCACUAUACCACCAACGCCAUGGGAAGCCCCUUUGCAAUGCCAGCACACACGAUGGAGACGCAACAGCACGUGCACUGAAGUUCAGAAAGUCGACUAUUUGUGAGUCCAGAAUGCCAUUUGCAAGCACUGCCCUCCUCCAUUUCAGCAGUUUUCAAAAGCCGCGCAGCACAAACGUUUUGGUUCAGUUCAUCACCUUAAGAGCGCACGCCCAUCUGAUGACGGAAGGAACGGAUAAAGGUUGAGGCCUCCGUAGUUGGCAGGAUUCGAACCUGCGCGGGGAAACCCCAAUGGAUUUCUAGUCCAUCGCCUUGACCACUCGGCCACAACUAUCUCCCCUCCGCUUUUCAAAGGGUUGAGGCAACAUUACAGAUUUUAAAGGACCAUGUUUACAGUGUCAGCCCAAUUGGAUUAAACAGGCUGCUGUGAAUAUGAGAGCAACCAUAACUUGCACGCAUGAGAAUAUCAGCCACAAACAUCUUAAGCAGGACUGCCGCUAGAUUUGAACCCUGUGAAAGGUCUUUUCCACGAGCACAAGUUUUGAUCUAACAUGACCUAAUCUGUCUGUCUGUGUAAAAUCAGGGAAUUCUCAAAUCUAGUGUGGUUGAUAGCUUGACGCAAAGAGCCUGUGAGUGCUUCUUGUCGUUCACAGCAGAGAAAAUACAGUUUGUCAUCAAGCCCAAUCAAGUGGGCUGUCACACAUACGGGCUAUUUAAAAUACGAUGAAUUGCCUGCUUAUUAGAAAGUUCAGUCACUGAGACAAAAAAGGCAAAGUUUUGGAGAGGGUGACAAUUGUUUGAUCCAGGCCUGUUUCCUCCAGUUGGGGGUAAGCGGCUCCCUGAUGGUCUAGUGGCUAGGAUUCGCCACUCUCACUGCCGCGGCCGGGGUUCGAUUCCCGGUUAGGAAAGCUCGUCUUACAACACGCUUGUGUGUGUGACCUCCCAAGGCUGCUUGUCUGGCUUUCUCCCAAGGCAUGAUCCAAUACCCAUCUCUGAUCUUGAUCUUCCUUUAAAAUGUGUGUUGUCGCCAGGGGAAUGGGUGAAGCAGGAUUGGCAUCAGGCUGGUGCUACCAGCCAAGGCAGCAGAAGUGAGUAACAUGGAGGUCUUAGGCCAGGAAGUCUGCACAGAGAUUGCUUGCAUCGAGGCCUGUGAGAGGGCAUAGCAUGUAUGAAAUAGAGCACACACAUUCCAGUAAAAUAAAAUUUUUACUCACCCAUCUGGAAAGGACACGGAUGAUUUCUAAGAUAGCACUUGGUAGAUUUGUGUAUUCUCAUGCUUAACUAUCAUAAUGAUGGUCUAGAUGAUAAUUCAGUGGAACUCCUACAUGCUUGUAAAGAUGUACAAUGCAAUUAUGUAGGAAAAAUUAUUUUGACCUGAUAAGAGAUCAUCAGGUGCUUUUUGGCUUAUUGCCUUCAUCAGGAUACAUACAUACACAGACAUCAAAAACACAUGUUCUGCUGCCACACAGAGGACUGUGACUUUGGGUGAAAACUUGUCUGUGUUUUGACUGCAGGCUAACAAGGCCUUCUCAUUCCUUUCACACCAUUACAGCUUCCAUUAAAGACAGAGAGAGAGAUGGGUAGAAAGCAAUGAUUAGAGGAGAGUGCAGUCCAGAAAGAGAGAGUCAUGAAAGAGGACGAGAUGAAGACAGAUAGACAAAGUGUAGAGCAACACUGGAAGAAAGAGGAGGAGUGUUUCACAGUCACACCCCAGAAAUGAAAGUGAACCAAAACAAUUUCACUACAGAAGACAAAAGUCUAUUCAUCCUUCACCAGCGUACCUUCAUACGUUGCAGACUUGCACACAGACAAGGCAGCAGCCAGCAGUUUCCUCUUUGAAGAUCAGUUUCUAUGUUCCAUCUGUCUGGAUGUGUUCAUUGAUCCAGUCACCAUACCAUGUGGACACAACUUCUGCAAGACCUGCAUCACAGAACACUAGAAUAUUAAUGUCCAAAAUAAUUGUCCCAUGUGUAAAAAGAUUUUCAACAUGAGACCUGAACUGCAAAUCAACACAUUAAUAUCUUAGAUGGCUGCUCAGUUCAGACAGUCAGCUGGGAAGAAAACCAGCAAAUACUCAAAGCAACAAUGUACCAACACAGGAGAAGUACUCUGUGACAUCUGCACUGAAACUAAACUGAAGGCUGUGAAGUCCUGCCUGGUGUGUCUGACCUCCUACUGUGAGACUCACCUGGAGCAUCAUCAGAGAAUCCCACGCCUGAAAAGACAUAAACUGAUCGAUCCUGUGGAGAACCUGGAAGACAGAAUGUGUAAGAAGCAUGAUCGACCUCUGGAGCUGUUCUGCAAGACUGACCAGAUAUGUGUUUGUUAGUUCUGCACUGAGUCUAGUCACAUAUUUCAUCAUUUUGCUCCUGUGAUAGAAGAAUAUGAGGGGAAGAAGGUUGCACUGGGGAAAACAGAGGCUGGAAUUCAGAAGAUGAUCCAGGAGAGACGACUGAAGAUUCAGCAGAUCAAAUAGUGAAGCUCAGCAAGGAAGAUGCAGACAGAGAGACAGCAGCCAGUGUGCAGGUCUUCACUGCUCUGAUCCAGUCUGUUGAGAGAGGUCUGGCUCAGCUCAUUGACAUGAUUGAAGAGAAGCAGAAAACUACAGAGAAACAGGCUGAAGGCUUCGUCAAAGAGCUGGAAGAGGAAAUCUCUGAGCUGAUGGCCCCCUUACUGGCCCUCCUGUCCUCCUCUCUCUGAAGUUGAAGCCUCAGAAGGUGGGGGUGUUUGUGGAUUAUGAGGAGGGUCUGGUCUCCUUUUAUGAUGUAGAUGCUGCAACUCUUAUCUACUUGUAACUUCACUAACUUUACUAACUCGUAACUUCACUGAGAAACUCUAUCUGAUCUUUAGUUCCUGUACUAAUGAUGGUGGUAAAAACUGUGUCCCUCUGAUCAUCUCUCUUGUCAUUCAAACUAAUUAGACUUGUGCUUUGAUUGUUUUGAUGUACUUACAUAACCAGUGGUAAUGAAUCAUACAUAAUUUCAUACAUGUUUUGUAUAUAUACAUAUAUACAUAAUUUGUAUAUUCAGAGUCUGGUUAAUGUGGUUAUUACUUAAGUCUUUGUUAUAUCUAUUGAUAUUUUAAGAUUCCAUUACAUUUUUCUGUGGUUUAUUCCAGUACAACUUACUGAUGUGACACCUAUUUACUGACAGUAAUUCAUAGAAUAUUUUUCAUGUAAUAAUAAUAGUGUAAUAGUGCAUCACACAAUACUGCCAUCUUCAAUCAGAAGCAGUUGAAAAAACUAUUUAAAUAUGACAAAU